GAUGAACGCUGGCGGCGUGCCUAAUACAUGCAAGUCGAGCGAACAGACGAGGAGCUUGCUCCUUUGACGUUAGCGGCGGACGGGUGAGUAACACGUGGGUAACCUACCUAUAAGACUGGGAUAACUUCGGGAAACCGGAGCUAAUACCGGAUAAUAUUUCGAACCGCAUGGUUCGAUAGUGAAAGAUGGAUCCGCUAUCCCUUAUAGAUGUACCUGCGCCGUAUUAGCUAGUUGGUAAGGUAACGGCUUACCAAGGCAACGAUACGUAGCCGACCUGAGAGGGUGAUCGGCCACACUGGAACUGAGACACGGUCCAGACUCCUACGGGAGGCAGCAGUAGGGAAUCUUCCGCAAUGGGCGAAAGCCUGACGGAGCAACGCCGCGUGAGUGAUGAAGGUCUUCGGAUCGUAAAACUCUGUUAUUAGGGAAGAACAAACGUGUAAGAAACUGUGCACGUCUUGACGGUACCUAAUCAGAAAGCCACGGCUAACUACGUGCCAGCAGCCGCAGUAAGAU
rnacentral:rRNA from 1 species